CUACGGGUGGCAGCAGUGGGGAAUAUUGCACAAUGGGGGAAACCCUGAUGCAGCAACGCCGCGUGGAGGAUGACGCAUUUCGGUGCGUAAACUCCUUUUAUAUAGGAAGAUAAUGACGGUACUAUAUGAAUAAGCACCGGCUAACUCCGUGCCAGCAGCCGCGGUAAUACGGAGGGUGCAAGCGUUACUCGGAAUCACUGGGCGUAAAGCGCGCGCAGGCGGCCCCUUAAGUUGGAUGUGAAAGCCUACGGCUUAACCGUAGAACUGCAUCCAAAACUGAGGGGCUAGAGUCUGGGAGGGGAAGAUGGAAUUAGUUGUGUAGGGGUAAAAUCCGUAGAGAUAACUAGGAAUACCAAAAGCGAAGGCGAUCUUCUGGAACAGUACUGACGCUGAGGCGCGAAAGCGUGGGGAGCAAACAGGAUUAGAUACCCUUGUAGUC
rnacentral:rRNA from 1 species